UACGUAGGGGGCAAGCGUUGUCCGGAUUUAUUGGGCGUAAAGAGCUCGUAGGCGGCUCAGUUAGUCGGAUGUGAAAACUCGGGGCUCAACCCCGAGACGCCAUCCGAUACUGCUGUGGCUUGAAUCUGGUAGGGGAGCACGGAAUUCCUGGUGUAGCGGUGAAAUGCGCAGAUAUCAGGAGGAACACCGGCGGCGAAGGCGGUGCUCUGGGCCAGUAUUGACGCUGAGGAGCGAAAGCGUGGGUAGCAAACAGG
rnacentral:rRNA from 1 species